CAUUUGAAUUGUAUGGGAGAAAAGGGGGUGGUUGGGGGUUGGAUGAAAUUGAAAUAUCGAGGACGAGUUUUGAGUAAAAAUCUAAAAGCCAGGACCCCCCCCCCCCCCCCCCCAAAAAAAAAGAGUAACGACAAUGCAGGAUAACAUUUUCAUCAUAGCCCCCCCAUAACCCUUGAAAAUAAAAGUGGGAACUACCUUACCAAC
rnacentral:lncRNA from 1 species